AUUGAACGCUGGCGGCAGGCCUAACACAUGCAAGUCGACCGAGUGGCGGACGGGUGAGUAAUGUCUGGGCAACUGCCUGAUGGAGGGGGAUAACUACUGGAAACGGUAGCUAAUACAGCAUACCAUCGGAUGUGCCCAGAUGGGAUUAGCGAGUAGGUGGGGUAAAGGCUCACCUAGGCGACGAUCCCUAGCUGGUCGGAGAGGAUGACCAGCCACAAUGGAACUGAGACACGGGCCAUACGCGGACGGGAGGAAGCAGUGGGUAAUAUGGCAAAAUGGGCGCAAGCCUGAUGCAGCCAUGCCGCGUGUAUGAAGAAGGCCUGCGGGUUGUAAAGUACUUUCAGCGGGGAGGCGUUACCCGCAGAAGAAGCACCGGCUAACUCCGUGCCAGCCGCCGCGGUAAUUC
rnacentral:rRNA from 1 species